GAUGAACGCUGGCGGCGUGCCUAAUACAUGCAAGUCGAACGCAUUGUGGUUGAAAUGAUAUGAAGAACUUGUUCAGAUUUGAUUUUCAACAUUGCAAUGAGUGGCGAACGGGUGAGUAACACGUGGGAAACCUACCUCUUAGCAGGGGAUAACAUUUGGAAACAAAUGCUAAUACCGUAUAAUAAUUAAAACCGCAUGGUUUUAGUUUAAAAGAUGGUCUUGCUAUCACUAAGAGAUGGUCCCGCGGUGUAUUAGUUAGUUGGUGAGGUAAUGGCUCACCAAGACAAUGAUACAUAGCCGAAGUUGAGAGACUGACCGGCCACAAUGGGACUGAGACAGGCCCAUACUCCUAGGGAGGCAGCA
rnacentral:rRNA from 1 species